GAUGAACGCUAGCGACAGGCCUAACACAUGCAAGUCGAGGGGCAGCAUGAAAUUAGCUUGCUAAUUUUGAUGGCGACCGGCGCACGGGGGAGUAACACGUAUGCAACCUGCCUGUAAGCGGGGGAUAACCCGGAGAAAUUCGGACUAAUACCGCAUAAUAUCAUUAAUUCGCAUGUUUUAAUGAUUAAAAAUUUAUUACUUACAGAUGGGCAUGCGUAUGAUUAGCUAGUUGGCGGGGUAACGGCCCACCAAGGCGACGAUCAUUAGGGGUUCUGAGAGGAAGGUCCCCCACAUUGGAACUGAGACACGGUCCAAACUCCUACGGGAGGCAGCAGUGAGGAAUAUUGGUCAAUGGACGAGAGUCUGAACCAGCCAUGUCGCGUGAAGGAUGACUGUCCUAUGGAUUGUAAACUUCUUUUAUAUGGGGAUAAAGUGUGAGACUUGUCCCAUUUUGCAUGUACCAUAUGAAUAAGCAUCGGCUAACUCCGUGCCAGCCGCCGCAGUAAUAC
rnacentral:rRNA from 1 species